rnacentral:rRNA from 1 species
GAUCAUGGCUCAGGAUGAACGCUAGCUACAGGCUUAACACAUGCAAGUCGAGGGGCAGCAUGACCUAGCAAUAGGUUGAUGGCGACCGGCGCACGGGUGAGUAACACGUAUCCAACCUACCGGUUAUUCCGGGAUAGCCUUUCGAAAGAAAGAAUUAAUACCGGAUAGUAUAACGAGAAGGCAUCUUCUUGUUAUUAAAGAAAUUUCGUAUAACCGAAUGGGGAGUGCGUUCCAUUAGUUUGUUUGGCGGGGUAACGGGCCC